rnacentral:lncRNA from 1 species
UCAGGGCCGAAGGGGUAGAGGAAGACCUAGGAAAACUUUGGAAGAGACCCUAAGAAAAGACUUGAGUACUUGGAUCUAACGGAGGACAUGACACAAAACCGAGCGCAAUGGCGUUCUAGGAUUCAUAUAGCCGACCCCACUUAGUGGGAAAAGGCUUUGUUGUUGUUGUUGUUGUUGUUUGAUUUGGAAGUUACCCACUUCCUAGUUAACUGGAUGAUUGUUAUAAAUUUUCAUCUUUUUUUUUUGGGAAAUUACAGGAAAGCAGAAGCAGCUUUUUUUUUAAAGCACAGCAAUACCAAACCAGCCCUAAGUCCCUUCAUCUUCAUGAUCAUCUGAAAACUUCAAUUGAUGCAGUAAGUUCUUCUUCCAACUAUAUCUUUAUAUAUGGGAAAUCCAUUGUUUAUUCGUUAUUUAUUUCAUUUUCUUCAUCUUAAUUGCAACUAAAUAUAUAUAUGGUUUCAUGUUCAACACUUUGUUAAUUGCACUAACGUUUUCAACUUCAACUGAAACCUGAUCCUCAGAAGCAAGUGUCCUCUCCUCAUGAUCUGACGACUUCCAUGUAAGUUCUUGCUAUACAUCUGCUCCUAUAUCCAUGUGAGUUUCGAGUUGUGUAACUUGUAGAGUCCUACUUUAGUAUUUUAACAUGUAAAAAGUGUUUCAUUUUUAACAUACCCGAUUGAGCCCCUGUAUAGCCGGUUGGACGGUUAUGGAAUUGUAUAAAUUUGUAUACAAUAAUUAGUUUCAUUUGUUUUAAUUGUGCAGCUGUGACUACUUGUGAGUCUUGAUUGGUAUUGCUCAACGGAUCAAACUUCCAAUUCAAGAAACUAUGCCGGGAGAGGCUUUUCUUGUGGCAUUCCUCCAAGUGCUGGUUGACAAGUUGGCGCAACGUGAGGUCUUGAAGUACUUUGGACUCGUAAAGGGCGUCGAUCAAAACCUGAAGAAAUGGAGUGCCACCUUGUCUGCAAUUGGAGCGGUUCUGAAUGACGCGGAGGAAAGGCAACUGAUGGCUGAGAGCAACGCACUGAAGCUCUGGCUCGAUGAUCUCAAGGACUUGGCUUUUGAUGCGGAAGACAUGUUGGAUAAAUAUCAUACUAAAAUGUUGAAACGUCAGAUACAACAUGCUCAUUCCAGCACAAGAAGCAAAGCAUGGAAAUCAAUUCCUAAUCGUGUUUUCAACUUCAAAAUGAACUCGGAAAUACAGAAGAUUUCCGAGCGAUUACAAGAGAUAUCUGAAAGAAAAGACCAGCUUAGUUUGAAAAUUGAUACUAGGACAUUGACUACAAAGGCACGCCAACACAUAUCGCCGAGUACUAGUCUACCAGAUGGACCUGUGAUUGGAAGGGAUGAGGACAAAGGGAAGAUUGUUGAGCUGCUGUCGAAACAAGAGCAUCGGGCUGUCAAUUUCGAGGUAGUUGCAAUUGUCGGUAUGGCUGGAGUCGGAAAGACAACACUUGCUGGACAAGUACUUAAAGAUAUGGUUGCAACCCAAAUGUUUCAACCAGCCGUUUGGGUGUGCGUAUCUGACGACUUCAACCUUGAAAGAGUGACAAAGCAAAUUCUUGAAUCAAUCACAUCUCGGCAAUGUACCACAGAAGAUUACAAUAAGGUUCAAAAUGAUUUGCAUAAGAAGUUAGCGGGGAAAAAGUUUUUAAUUGUUUUAGACGAUGUUUGGAAAACGUGUAGCUACGGUGAAUGGAAGAAGCUGCAGUCCACUUUUCAUGAUGGAGCACAAGGAAGCAAGAUAGUUGUGACAACACGUGAUACAGAUGUUUCAAAAAUGAUGGGAGCUGCCACGCUGGUUCACAAUUUGGUGCCUAUGGAAAAUCAUUUUUGUUUACAAGUAUUUGAGCAGCAUGCAUUCUUAAAUUCUAACGACAAGCCAUCAAAUUACGAGUUACUUAAGGAGAAAAUUGUUGCAAAGUGUAGGGGAUUGCCUUUGGCCGCGAGGACCCUUGGUGGUGUUCUACUUCGUAGAGAAAUAGACGAAUGGGAAGAACUAUUGAACAACAAGUUGUGGAGUCUCUCAAAUGAGCAUGACAUACUUCCUGUGUUGAGACUAAGUUACUUUUAUCUUCCUUCACAUUUGAAAAGAUGCUUUGCCUAUUGCUCAAUAAUUCCAAAUGACUAUGAAUUCGGGGAGAUGCAAAUGAUCCUUCUGUGGAUGGCCGAGGGUUUGAUUCAUCCUCAACCAGAAGAUAAUAAGCAAAUUGAAGAUUUAGGUGCUGAUUAUUUUCGGGAGCUCGUAUCUAGGUCAUUGUUUCAAAAGUCAACCAAAAAUACUUCAAAAUAUGUGAUGCAUGACCUCAUUGGUGAUUUAGCACGAUGGGCAGCUGGAGAUAUUUGUUUUAGAUUGGAGGAUAAGCAAAAUGAUGAUGGUGUACAACUUAGAUGUUUUCCGAAGGCUCGCCAUUCGUCUUACAUUAUCGGUCGUUAUGAUGGGGUUAAAAGAUUUGAGGCAUUUUCUGAAGUGAAAUGUAUGCGAACCUUCUUGCCACUCAGAAAGGGUUCUGCCUACAAUUAUUUAAGCCAUCAGGUUACUUCUGAUUUAUUGCCAAAAUUGCAGUACUUGCGGGUGCUUUCUUUUAAUGGCUAUAGAAUAACUGAGCUGCCAAACUCAAUUGGUGAUUUGACAUAUCUACGGUAUCUUGACCUUUCCUACACAGCUAUAAGUAGUUUGCCUAAAUCGAUAAGUACUCUUUACAACUUGCAGACAUUGAUAUUGGAAUGCUGUUACGGUUUGAAGUCAUUGCCUGCAGACAUGAGUAAUCUAAUUAAUUUGCGCCAUCUCAACAACUCAGAUGUAUCUUCGUUGGAAGGAAUGCCUCUAAAACUAGGUAGAUUGGUGAAUCUCCAAUCUUUGCCUAAUUUUAUGGUCAAUGCUGGAAGUGAUCAAUCAAGAAUACGAGAGAUGGGGCCCCUAUCGCAUCUCCGAGGGACAUUGUGCAUCUCAAGAUUGGAGAAUGUGACUGAUGUUGAGGAUGCUCAAGGGGCCAACUUAAAAUACAAGGCGAGGCUUGAUUCGUUGGUCCUAAAAUGGUCUCAUUCAAGUGACACAAGAGAAAUGGAAUCUGCUGUGCUUGACAUGUUAGAGCCUCAUAGAAAGAUCAAGGAGCUCACCAUCAAGAGUUAUGCCGGCAAGGAAUUUUGAACAUGGGUUGGAGGUCAUUUGUUCUCCAAUAUGGUGCUUGUGCGCUUAGAGGAAUGUAAUAAUUGUUUGUCGUUGCCACCUCUUGGACAAUUGCCUCUACUCAAAGAACUUUAUAUUAGAGGAAUGAAUGCAGUGGAAAGUGUUGGUGCUGAGUUUUAUGGAGAUCGUAACUUGCCCUUUCGGGUAUUAGAGACUCUUGAGUUUGUGGAAAUGCAGCAUUGGAAAGAAUGGCUUCCUUUCCAACUGGAUCAUGAAAGUGGUGUUUUCCCUUACCUGAAAACACUCUUAGUAAAAAAAUGUUCUAAACUGGAGGGUAAGCUGCCAGAGAACCUCAAUUCUUUAGCUAAGCUUGAAAUUGUUGUUGAAAAAUUGUUGAAUGUGAAGAAUUAGUGGUUUCAACUGCCAACUACAAACGACUUUGUCAAUUAAACAUUGACGGUUGUGAAGUGUUGGUGCAUACAGCUGCUAAGGUUGAGUUUGAGUUAUUAGAGUCUUUGUGCCUUUCAAACAUUUCGGAGGUGAUGUCUCUGCAAACAGGGGAUUUGUUCAACAAGGGAUUAACCAAGGUUAGAGAUUUGAAGAUUAAUGGAUGUGAGGAGGUGAUAUCUUCAUUGAAGAAUGAGGGUAGAUUAUUUCAACAGUUGACUUCUCUUGGCCGUUUGGAAAUCGAAGACAACUCUCCUCUAGUUGAAGAAUUGGGAAAAGAAGCAGAGGAAUUGCAAAUAUUGGAGUGUAGGAUUGAAUGUCUAGAGUUAAACAACAACAACAACAACAACAAAGCCUUUUCCCACUAAGUGGGGUCGGCUAUAUGAAUCCUAGAACGCCAUUGCGCUCGGUUUUGUGUCAUGCCCUCCGUUAGAUCCAAGUACUCUAAGUCUUUUCUUAGAGUCUCUUCCAAAGUUUUCCUAGGUCUUCCUCUACCCCUUCGGCCCUGAACCUCUGUCCCGUAGUCACAUCUUCGAACCGGAGCGUCAGUCGGCCUUCUUUGCACAUGUCCAAAUCACCAGAGCCGAUUUUCUCUCAUCUUUCCUACAAUUUCGGCUACUCCUACUUUACCUCGGAUAUCCUCAUUCCCAAUCUUAUCCUUUCUCGUGUGCCCACACAUCCCACGAAGCAUCCUCAUCUCCGCUACACCCAUUUUGUGUACGUGUUGAUGCUUCACCACCCAACAUUCUCUGCCAUACAACAUCGCUGGCCUUAUUGCCGUCCUAUAAAAUUUUCCCUUGAGCUUCAGUGGCCUACGACGGUCACACAACACGCCGGAUGCACUCUUUCCAUCCAGCUCGUAUUCUAUGGUUGAGAUCUCCAUCUAAUUCUCCGUUCUCUUGCAAGAUAGAUCCUAGGUAACGAAAACGGUCGCUUUUUGUGAUCUUCGCUAGAUUGCUCCGGUCAUUAGUGUGGAUAAGUAUAUAAAUGGAUAGAGAUAGGAAAGCAAACACAAGAUGUACGUGGUUCACCCAGAUUGGCUGCGUCCACGGAAUAGAAGAGUUCUCAUUAAUUGGGAAGGGUUUACACAAGUACAUAGGUUCAAGCUCUCCUUUAGUGAGUACGAGUGAAUGAUUUAGUACAAAUGACAUUAGGAAAUAUUGUGGGAGAAUGAUCUCGUAAUCACGAAACUUCUAAGUAUCGGAGUGUGGUGUCGUCUUGACUUGCCUUAUCUGUCUCAUAGGUAGAUGUGGCAUCUUCUCUGGAAGUACUCUUCCUCCAUCCAGGGGUGGUAUCUUUAACUGGUGGAGAUGCACAAGGUAAUGUAUCAAUUUCAUUUGAAGCUUACUUGUAGUUUCAGGCUUGGUCAAGCGCGAUACAAACCAUGUAGUAGGAGUCCCCCAAGUCGCCGAGCUAGGGGGUCUGCUGAAAGCGUUGACAGACAAGGUAAGCAAUCAGAGCUCCGACUGAUUGUUCACCUUCUCCCCAUCUUGCAGCAGCAUGAAGGAUAAAGAGAAGAAAAAUGAGAAGAGAUGAUAUGAGAUACUUUUGCUUUUGAAGAAGUAACUUUCCACAGGCUUAUUCUUGAACUGAGCUGGAGGGUUUUCUGGUUUCCUCCAGAGUAUAAGGCCGACUGAAGAAUUUGAGGGUCAAAACAAGUCCAUCAAAUCUAGAGUACGUUCCACCCUGCUGAUAUGGGAUACUUUUGCUUUUGACAGAGUAAUGGAUGUAUCGGCACGUGUGCUGUUACGCUUGUCUCCACAUGCUUCCUUGUAUCCUUCGCACUUGCCCUAUCUGUUCCUCAAGCAGAUGCGGAAUCUUCCCUGGAAACAUAAGAUGAUGAAGAUGAGUACUCGAGAGCAAUGCCAGGUAAGUAAUCAGGUAAGGGGUUCCAGGCAGUCAGUUCCUGGCUGGAAGCUUGAUUCCAAGUGCUGACUGAUUGCUCUCUUUCUCCUUGUCUUGCAGGUAAAAACAAGGCCAAAAGAAAAAACAGGGAAAAAGCAUGAUAUGGGAUACUCUUGCUUUUAACCCUGAUGAUAUGAGAUAUUCUUGCUCUAGUAUAGCUUGUUUGCAGAGGUAUUAUCGGGGGGAAAGAAAGCUGAAUAUUUCGAAAGGCUUUGUUGGGAGUGCCCUCUCAGAUAUGAUGAAGGGUUGAGCAUUUUUGCAGGUCUGCCUGUCCGUUGGGGAUGGAGGUCGACAUAUAUAGGCGUCUCCCUAACAACAAGUAGUAAUGCUAUUCCUUUACCCUGCUUGGUCAUAGCACGGUAGUGGGAGCUGCCAGUUUCACAUGUUUUAACUCUGUCAGAGCACUUUGAAAAAGUGGUCUGUGGUAUCUGGCUCUCGAGAUUCGGAGAACGAUGCCUCUUCGAUUUUUGAGAAAGCAAUUAUGCUGGGGGUCUGACUCUCGAGAUUCGGAGAGCAGUGUCUCUUCGAUUUUUGAGGAAGUAAUCAUGUUGGGAGUCUGGCUCUCGAGAUUCGGAAGACGGUGCCUCUUCGAUUUUGGAGCAAGCAAUCUUGUUGGGAGUGUUGUCUCGAAUGUGAGUAAAGGUUGGACAUGUUUGCUAGUCUACCUUGCCACGAAGCACAAAGGUUGACACACAGGGACUUUCCAAUUAUCCAGCAAUGGUACUGUUCCUUUACCCUCUCUUCGAUUUUGAGAAAGUAGUCAUGUUGGGAGUCUGGCUCUCGAGAUUCGGAGGACGGUGCCUCUUCGAUUUUGGAGCAAGCAAUCUUGUUGGGACUGUUUUCUCGAAUGUGAGUAAAGGUUGGGCAUGUUUGCUAGUCUACCUUGCCACGAAGCACAGAGGUUGACACACAGGGACUUUCCAAUUAUCCAGCAGUGGUACUGUUCCUUUACCCUUGUGGGUAAUAAUAUGGUAGCUAGACCUUCAAAAUUUAUGUGUCUAAACUUUGUUAGUGCCGUUUCUUUGCUAUUCUUUUACCUUUCUUGGUCAGAGCGAUGUAGUGGGAGCUGCAAGCUUCACGUGCUCAACUUUGGCAGAGAACUUUGGCAAAGUGAUCUGUGGUACCCAUGAGUUAUUGUUGCGUGUGGGAAGUGGGUGAUUGAACAGUAAGAUUCAUGUGCUUUCUACUUCACCAGAAGUCUUCGACAGAAUGCCCAUAAUUUCUGCAAAGCUGAGUGUGCGUGUGACAGGUGCUGACAAGGCUAGAAAAGUAGGUGCCUCUUCGAUUUCUGAGAUCGGCCCUCGUGGUCUCUGAGCAGCCCAGCUUUUGAGAAAGCGAGCGCCUCUUCGAUUGAUUCGGAGAAUGGUGCCUCACCGAUUUUUGAGAAAGCAAUCAUGCUGGGGGUCUGGCUCUCGAGAUUCGGGGAGCAGUCUCUUCGAUUUUUGAGAAAGUAAUCAUGUUGGGAGAGUGGCUCUCGAGAUUCGGAGGGCGGUGCCUCUUCGAUUUUGGAGCAAGCAAUCUUGUUGGGAGUGUUUUCUCGAAUGUGAGUAAAGGUUGGGCAUGUUUGCUAGUCUACCUUGCCACGAAGCACAGAGGUUGACACACAGGGACUUUCCAAUUAUCCAGCAAUGGUACUGUUCCUUUACCCUCUCUUCGAUUUUUAAGAAAGUAGUCAUGUUGGGAGUCUGGCUCUUUAGAUUCGGAGGACGGUGCCUCUUCGAUUUUGGAGCAAGCAAUCUUAUUGGGAGUGUUUUCUCGAAUGUGAGUAAAGGUUGGGCAUGUUUGCUAGUCUACCUUGCCACGAAGCACAGAGGUUGACAUACAUGGACUUUCCAAUUAUCCAGCAGUGGUACUGUUCCUUUACCCUUGUGGGUAAUAAUAUGGUAGCUAGACCUUCAAAAUUUAUGGGUCUAAACUUUGUUAGUGCUGUUUCUUUGCUAUUCUUUUACCCUUCUUGGUCAGAGCGAUGUAGUGGGAGCUGCAAGCUUCACGUGCUCAACUUUGGCAGAGAACUUUGGCAAAGUUAUCUGUGGUACCCAUGAGCUUAUUGUUGCGUGUGGGAAGUGGGUGAUUGAACAGUAAGAUUCAUGUGUUUUCUACUUCCCCAGAAGUCUUUGACAGAAUGCCCAUAAUUUCCGCAAAGCUGAGUGUGCGUGUGACAGGUGCUGACAAGGCUGGAAAAGUAGGUGCCUCUUCGAUUUCUGAGAUCGGCCCUCGUGGUCUCUAGGGAGCCCAGCUUUUGAGAAAGCGAGCGCCUUUUCGAUUUCUGAGAUCGGCCUUCGUGGUCUUUGAGCAGCCCAACUUUUGAGAAAGCAAACGGCUCUUCGAUUUCUGAGAUCAACCCUCGUGAUCUCUAAGCAGCCCAACUUUUGAGAAAGCAAACGCCUCUUCGAUUUCUGAGCAGGCGCCUCUUUGAUUUCUGAAGCUCCGUCGAGUGCAGAUUUUUAUAGAGGCUGGCAUUAAGUUCCAAAGCACACUUGAAUCUCCACCAGUAGAAGCUUCAUUCUUGCACUUCUAAGAUCUUGAUUUGUCCGACCUCUUCUCUCUUCAACACCUUUGAAAAUGUCUGGCCCUCCGACCGUCGUUUUGACUUGAACCUUGUUGAAGAGGCAGCCCCGCCUUCUCCAGACAACAUAUGGCGCCCAUCCUUUGUCUCCCCAACUGGUCCUCUUACCGUUGGGGAUUCCGUGAUGAAGAAUGAUAUGACCGCUGCGGUGGUGGCCAGGAACCUUCUCACUCCCAAAGAUAACAGACUACUUUCCAAACGGUCUGAUGAGUUAGCUGUUAAGGAUUCGCUGGCUCUCAGUGUUCAGUGUGCAGGUUCUGUGUCUAAUAUGGCCCAACGCCUAUUUGCUCGAACCCGCCAAGUUGAAUCAUUGGCGGCUGAAGUAAUGAGUCUCAAACAGGAGAUUAGAGGGCUCAAGCAUGAGAAUAAACAGUUGCACCGGCUCGCACAUGACUAUGCUACAAACAUGAAGAGGAAGCUUGACCAGAUGAAGGAAACUGAUGGUCAGGUUUUACUUGAUCAUCAGAGAUUUGUGGGUUUGUUCCAAAGGCAUUUAUUGCCUUCGUCUUCUGGGGCUGUACCGCGUAAUGAAGCUCCAAAUGAUCAACCUCUGAUGCCUCCUCCUUCUAGGGUUUUGUCCAGUACUGAGGCUCCAAAUGAUCCCCCUCCGGUGCCUUCUCUUUCUGGGGCUCUACCGACUGCUGAGACUUCUCCUAAGCAACCUUUGUGAAGGCUCCCUCUGUGUGUUUAUUUUGACUCAUGUAUAUGUACAUAUUUGUAGCUUAUCGGGGAUAUCAAUAAAUAAGCUUUCCUUCAUUUCAACGUAUUGUGUUAAAUACACCAAAGCAACCAAAAGGGUUAAAUCAGUUGUCAUCUCUUCAAAAGCUUGGCAUACAUGAAUGUUCACAUCUAGUUUCUUUCCCAAAUGUUGGUCUGCCACCUUCUCUUAAAGACAUCGAGAUGACAUCGUGCGAUUCGUUGAUAUAUUUUACAAAAUUCCAGAUUCCCCAAAAUCUCAGAAGAAUAGAGAUAAGAGAGUGCAAAAAUUUGAAAUCACUAGUAGAUGAGGAGGCUGUUGGUUCUUCUUGGUCGUCUUAUUCUCAUAGUUGUCUUGAGUACUUGUUUAUCGAUGGAUGUGAAUCUCUGACGUCGUUAUCAUUGAGUGGCCAGCUUCUCAGGACACUUAAACACCUUCAGACAUACAGAUGUAAACAACUGGAGCUAAUCGCAGAGGACGGGUCCUUCAACGACAACACCAAUCACUGCCUUGAAUAUAUUGAGAUCUGGAAUUGCCAAAAUCUGAAAUCCUUACCGGAUGGAUUAUGCCACCUCAGCAAUCUUCAAAAGCUACAUAUUGAAAGAUGUGGAAGUCUUGUUUCCAUCCCGAGACUGAGUGGGGGGAGAAGACCCUCCAACCUGAGAAAUAUCUGUAUCAUCUAUUGCGAGAAAUUGGAGGCGUUGCCCGAAGACAUGCACAAUCUCAACUCUGUUGAGGAAUUGAGAAUUGACUACCAUGAAGGUUUGACUUUUCCUCCCAACCUAACAUUACUUCAUAUUUGGAAGGUCAAGAGUUGUAAGUCAUUGUGGGAGUUGGAGUGGGGGUUGCACAGACUCACCUUUCUUAGCAAGUUGGGGAUCUAUGGUGAUGACCCGGGUACGAUGUCGUUUCCACCCGACAUGGUCCGCAUGGAGACGCUCCUCCCUAAAUCUCUCGCUCAUCUCUCAAUACAUAGCUUCCCGAAUCUGAAGAAAUUGAGCGGCAAAGGCUUUCAAUUCCUCACCUCCCUUCAAUCUCUUAGACUCUGGAAUUGUCCAAAGCUAGCAUCCAUUCCAGAUGAGGGUCUGCCUCCUUCACUUACGCAACUUUGGAUCUCUGGGUGUCCAGUGCUAAAAGAGAGAUGCCAACCAGGAAAAGGACACUACUGGCACAAAAUAUCCCACAUCCCUUCCAUACAGAUAUAGAUUUUAAGAUAUUUGAAGCUAAUGGUCGAUUUGAUCCCAUUCUCUACGUCCAGGUAUCAUCUUCUGAAGAAAUGUUUUAUUAUUAUUUUCAUGUAAAGUAGAGUAUUAUUAUUAUUAUUAUUAUUAUUAUUAUUAUUAUUACUAGCAUUUGCCUACACACUUUGUGUGUAUCAACACAUUUUUUUAGAAAAUGAGAAGGAGAGAGGGAGAGAGACAGAGAGAGAGAACGUGAGGGGAGUGAGAGGUUUUUUUUUUGGUUUUUUCUUUUUUUUAAUAUUGGAGGUAUUUUAACAUCAUCUGUAGGUGAGGCUUCAAUAAAAAACAGUAAAAUUUGGACCUGUGAAAUUACAUUAUUGCCCAUCAUUUUUUUUUUGUGUGAUAGAAGACUAAUUUGUCUUUUCAUCAUCUUUUGGUUGACAAAGAGGAUUUCAUUAAUUAGUAGAGAUUAUCAUCUUUAUUCAUGUAAGAUCUACUUUAACUAUUAGAGUAAAACUUAAAUUUUAGAUUCCAAACCUAUUCCAAGUUGUUUCAACCUUGAGGCAAAUAUGAGUUUUAUAGCAAAUUUAGCCCAUAAUUCCUUCCGGGUUAGUGGGUUGGCCCACCAUAUAUGUGUAUUUUUCUUUUAAUUUUAUAUUUAUAAAUUCAUUAAAUCCAACGGAAAAGAUCUAAUAAUCUAACUGUAAAGAAUGAAAACAUUCCCUUCCUUUUUGUUUUCUCCUUUUUGCAUUUCUUCUACUAUAUCUAUUGGUUAGUUUCGCUUUAUUUUGUUAAAUUCUAUAGAUAAAAAGAUUAUAUGUACAGAAGGAGAAAAUUAAAAGAUUUAAUAGUUCAAAUUUAAAUUCAACGGCUAAAAUAAUUAGAAAAAUCUUUUCAUGUGUUUCAUAUUCUUUCAUAAUGUUUCACAAGUUUCAUGUUGUCAGUUUAGUAAUUUUUUAAUAUUUAUCGGAAUCUAAAUAUUUUUCCAAUAUUUUCAUGUGUUUCUUUUCUUGCGUUCCUCGCAACACUAGUGUAUUUGGAGCCCGUGGGAUCUCGAUCGAGUUGGGUGAGCAGGAUAGUUUUGUUGAAUUUGAAUAUGAUUUCCUGGCCUUGGAGGCAGAGGAUUCGGAAAACUGGGAAUCUGGUGUGGUGAAAAGAAAUGCAGGAAAUGAUUUGAUCUUGAAGGGACCAUUUGGAUCUCCACAUGGCCAAUCCUUGGAUUUGAUUGGUUCUGAUGAUACAAAGCCUGAGCUUGAGGGGUUCGUUAUGCAAACAGAUGAUGAACCAACAAGCAUUGCUGGAAAGGGAGUUGGCUUUGACGAGUGGAACCUUCCAAGCACUACAAUUGAACAUGCCAGCAUUCUGGAGCAGCUACUGCAUGCUCUUCUGCUUCAUAUAAGUUGCAUAAUAAUCCAAAUCUCUACCAGUCUGUUCCAACUGGGCUUCUAGAGGGUGUGGAUAUGAGGACCAUGAAUGAUGCUGCCAAGCAAUUAAGGGAUGAUCAUAGUUGCUGAGGAAGUUGGCCAGGUGUUUUAUGCAAGGUCCUAUUCUGAUUGCCUAUUAAAUCAUAGUUGUCAAUCUAGUUGGGAUACUAAGAAACCUUAUAUGUCUCCAGUAGGGAAACUUUGGGAUAUAACUGGUUCAAGGACUAGCAGUUCAAGGAAGCGAGGAAGCUUAAAUCCGGAGCUUCCCUGCAUCAGUGAAGAAAAUGAGAAUGCAGAUGAGGUAGCUGAUAUUUUCCAAGAUGGCAUUGUUUCAGAUGCAUUAAAUAGCUCAAUACAAAGAGUACCCCUUGCUGACAUUACUGAGAUUUAAACCCUCCUGCAUCAGUUUCUAAAGCUGAACCAUAUGCAGAUAGACUUAGUCUAGAUUCCGUGAACACUGAAAUCAGCUUUACAGGCACUCAUAAGAGCUUCAAACAGAGGCUUGGAAUCCAAAACAGCAGCAAGAGAAGAUAUAACAAUAAGGAGACAAACGAUAUUAAGAGGACCACUGGAUCACUUCAUAACAUGUUCAGUAAACCAAAAUUAUCUGGAAAAACCAGUUUGAGAAAAGGUGGUCCAAGUUUGUCAGAGCAGGAGCCGAAACGUAACAAUAUCGUGUCCAGCAUGACUUCUUUCAUUCCACUUGUUCAACAGAAACAAGCAGCUGCAGUUAUAACAGGUAAUUUCUUACUAGUAAUCUUAAUCUUGAACUUUGGAUGUUGCUUACAUGUACAUUUCCAUAUGAUUGUUUUUCGAGUAUGGAUAAUAAUCGUAUGUCUAAACUGGGUUACAGUAUGGAUGAUGGUUUUGUUUUUACUGAAUUAGGGAAUGUUUUGUUUCGGAGGACAUGACACAAAACCGAGCGCAAUGGCGUUCUAGGAUUCAUAUAGCCGACCCCACUUAGUGGGAAAAGGCUUUGUUGUUGUUGAUGUUGUUGUUGUAGGGAAUGUUUUGUUUGGAGCUUUAAAUUGGUAAUGCAUAUCUUGGGAUCAUCGAGUAAAAAUUAGAGUGCAUGUUUGAAAGUCCCAUGAAAAUUGAGUUGCCUUAUUAUCCUUCAAAAGAAAAAAUUAUAGGUGACUUCAACUUGUCGUAAGGAUCUUGAUAGUGAUUCAUUUGUUUUUUAAUUGUAUCAUUGUGAAUGUCUUAUAAGCAUUCUGGGAUAUUUUUCUUUUCUUUGUUUUUUCUUUUUCUCGAAUGAAUUAGUAUUUUGACCUAUUUGUGCUCUCUUGCAGCUGAAGCUACAAGCGUCUUGCAGAAAAGAAAGAGAAUGAACGCAAGAUGAAGAAGGAAGCCUUGAAACUUCACCAGUCAAGAAUGGAGCAGGAGAAUAUGAAGCAGUUGGAGCUGCAGAAAAAAAAGAAAGAAGAAGAGAGGAAGAAAAAAGAAGCUGAUAUGGCAUCAAAGAAGAGACAAAGGGAAGAGGAAGAAAGGAAGGAGAAGGAAAGAAAAAGAAUGCGUGUUGAAGCCCGUAGACAGCAGAGAGAACAUGAAUACAAGUUACCUGCUGAAAAAGUAGAGAAUGAAAUGAAAAGCCAGGCCAUUGUAUGAUUCUUUAUGCUCUGCCUCAUUUCAUUAUAUCUUUUCUUUUUUGCAAUGUUAGGUAUCACAUUCUACAUUGUGCUUUCUUGUGCAGGAUGGAAGCGGCCCUGGCGGUAAGAAAUCUAAGGAUGAAACGCCACAUAAGAAAAUGGAGGCAGAAAGGGGAUUUGACAAUUCCAGAAAUAUUUCGGAGACUGAGCCUAGUACUUCCAGGAUUUCAAUAAGCAACGCUGGAAGAGAAAGUAUUGUCCAUGAAGAGUUCCAUGAGGCCUGGGAGUAAUUAUGGGUAUAAAGCAGAGGUAAAUGCUGGUGACUUUUUUUUUAACAAUCGAUACACACCAUAUGUUAGGAUCUACUUGCAUGUUGAGUGCUUUUUACUUGCAUAGUCUGGAGCAGAGUGAUAAACUGUGAGCGUAGCAUGAAUUAUAAUCCUCUGUUGAUGUAGUUUGCAUGGGACCUUUAAACUUGUUGGGUUUUAACUCUUUUGAGGCCUUCCUUUUGCUAUCGUUACCACAAUAUAGGAAAGAAGGCUACAAUCGACUAAGUGCAAGAGUUCUCUUAUGUUAAAACUCCUAAUAGCUUAUUGUAAACUCAAAUCUGAACCACUGGUAGAAAGCUUUCUUAUGCAUGAAUAGCUGCAUACUUUUGUGCUCUUUUACCUUCUCUGUAAAGCCUUGUGCUGAUACUUCCUGUGAUAUUUAAGGUACCGAGCGAUUUAGACAAAGAAAUGGAGAAUUCAAUUGGCAUUACAAGUCAAGAGCAGUCUUAUGACAUCUCUCCAUACAAAGAAUCAGAUGAUGAAAAUGACGAUGAUGACAAUAUCAUACCGAAUAGUAAAUUUAUUCCUUCAUGGUCAAGGUAUGUUUUUCAAUUGUUAUAUAUGAAAUAUGGUUUAGAUCUUCAAAUUAUAGAGCAUCACAGUCAUCUCGGUGAUAUGUAUUUUAGAAGGCAUAGAUUGUGUACCCUUUGAAACUGUCAACUCAGCUGGGCUCUAAAAAAUAAUCUGUUGUUUGGUUCUCGUUUUGUACAGUAAAAAACUGCCUGGCUUUUGCUGUUUCUUGCCAGAAUAGAGCAGACCCAGGGACGAUCUUCCCCCCAGAAAGCUUUUGCUGCAUCUCUGAAGGUACUUUUAUGGUGUAAAGCCAUGGUCUUAGUAGCUAUUGCUUUGGCAUUUUUGGCUAGUUAAUUUUUAGAUACCGCUGGACUAAGUUCCAAUAUGCUCAUUUGCAGUCCUCUUGCCUCGAAACCAUCAAUUAAACAACAGCAGAAUGCGUUAAACUCUACUCAGUAUAUUCUUCAGUAAUAAGAGCUUUUGGUCAAGAAGAGGUAAUGCUUACCUUUAUUCUCCAUUUUCCUUUCCGUGCUCUAAACUACAUUUGUGCUGGCAGUUUGGUUGUUAAAGGAGCAAUUUUCCUUCUGCAAAAUGUAAAAUGCCUUGAGUUACUGCCUAUCAAAACCAAAAUACUUGUAAUAAUUGGUUUUCGUUUCUCGUUGCAGAUUUUCAAAGUCUAUUUGUGAACAGUUUCUUGAGCAGGCGACACCCUUUCAAGCUGACAUGUAAUUGUUAUCUCAAAUAAUUUCCCGACUGAUUGUAGUUGAGAAGAGUGACAAGUUCCAUUGGCAGAAGGCCAAUUUCCUGAGCUAUUGAGUAAUUUGGUCAUCGCCUCCUGCUGCUUUCUUGCUUCUUUGGCGCAGUCACUUUGGUAUGCACUGGUUUUAAUUUAACUUUUAACCUCAUUCUCCUCAAGGAUGAUAAGUGAAUGCUAGAAAUGUAUGUGUUUUGGUAUGGGGGUGUUGUAAGAUUAUGUAUAUAUAAAGCAAUCUUUAUUGCCUUUAUUCUUCCUCUUUUGGUCAAUUUGCUUAUUCACGAUCAUACACCAAAAGGUUGAACAUUGAAUCAUAUACUUGUUUUCCAAAAAUAAAACUUUGCAACUCUUGAAAGCAUAUAUAAAUUUGCUACACGAACUAGUAUAGAGAAGUCCAUAUGAGGUUAGAAUACAAAAUUGCACCUAUAAAGCCGCAUACUUGAUUUGAGUUAAGUUGAUUAGAGCGGUGUGCUCACUUUUUUGCACCCAAGUUGAAUUUAGUAUAAAUUAUUCUAUGGUUUGUUAAAAAAAACAAAAAAACAAAAAAAUUCAUGAAUAAUUCGAUGUAACGCGAUGUUUAAACGCAAAACUUGAGCGAGACAUUAGCGGAAUGAUUUCAAUCCCCACCACAAAUUUGCUACACCAACUAGUAUAGGGCCUUGUAUCCGUAUCGGAUGGAAGAUGUCCAAGAGGACGCUUUCUGAAAAAAAACAGCACAUAUCACAGCCCUGAUGCAUAGUCUGAAAACUUUCUGAUACAAAUCACCAACUGGGUAUGCUCAAAGUUUACAAAUUUCCAAUUGGGUAAGCUCAAAAGUUGACAAAUUCCCAAUUGGGUAAGCUCAAAGUUCACAAAUUGUCAAUUGAGUAAGCUCAUAUUACAAUAUUCACUUAACAUAGCAAUUUUUAAAAUGUGUGAUCAAAAGUGUAAUGAUUUGUCAAAAUGUGCCUAUUGUGAUUAAUUAUCCUUGUAUUAUUCAACCAAUGUCAUAUCAGAACGACAAUGUACUCGCUCUAUGAAAAUUCUUCGCAUCGGUUACAUUUUAGACUGUACACAUGAAAGUCAUUCAAAACAUAAUAACAGUUGCCAUGCGUUUUCCUGGUCUCCCAAAUGAUCAAGUUUGUUUUCUUGUCCUUUGUGUUUUGUUAAGUAGUUCCUGCAAUUUUGCCCCCUUUUUCUGAUUAAUAUAUGAAGGGCAUGAACCUUCGCAUAUAAAAUUGAUUAAACAGCAGUUUUAAAAAGUGAAAUCAAAAGUGCCACAAUUUGUCAGAAGUUGUCCACUGUGAGUUUGUGACUAAUCGCCCUUGUCUUAUUCGAGCAAUGUGAUAUCACAUCAAUGGUGUACUCGUUUUAUGGAAAUUCUUCAUGACCGUUAUAUUUUAGACAAGACAAAUGAAUGAAUCAUUCAAAACAUAAAGUUUUUCUAAUUUUUUUUUUCUUUGAUGUUAAGUUUCUCUGUUAUUUAUUUGAAAUAUUAACUCAAUAGUGAACUAGAUAAGUGAUUCUUGUAGAAAGAAUACAACUUUCUAACUUUUCUUGUUCGUGGAUUGUCGUGGGGAUACCGGAAUUGCAACUUUUCUUGCAUGUGUUGUUGGUGGAAUACUGACACAAUCGCAAACCUAAUUCUUUUAAACUUUCGUUUGGUAGCUUCUUAUCUUUUAGGUUUUGUUUUAGAGGCGUUUGGUCUUAUGUCCUUUUUGUUGUGUAUUUUCUUUAUCAAGAUGAGUAAAGUUUAUGUCACAAUCGCAAACCUAAUUCUUUUAAACUUUGUUUGUAGCUUCUUAUCUUUUAGGUUUUGUUUUAAAGGCGUUUGGCCUUAUGUCCUUUUUGUUGUGUAUUUUCUUUAUCAAAAUGAGUAAAGUUUAUGUCACAAUCGCAAACCUAAUUCUUUUAAAUUUUGUUUGUUUUGUAGCUUCUUAUCUUUUAGGUUUUGUUUUAGAGGCGUUUGGUCUUAUGCACUUUUUGUUGUGUGUUUUCUUUAUCAAGAUGAGUAAAGUUUAUGUCAUUCUCUCAUUAGUUGCAACUUUUUUUUAAAUAUCAAUAAAAUUUCCUUGUACCACCGAGGUUCUACUAGAACAAAAUGACAAAUGAUAGAUAAUCUACCCUAAAUUCAUCUAAAUUAUGAAAAACGGAGAAGAAUUUAGACCCAAAACACAAUAGUUGGAAGAGAAAAACCUUGUCUCAAGAUAACCCACAAUUUGUGAUAUUUCACUCCGUCAUGAAAAUCCUGCUCAAUUUUCAUUCCUUAAACAUCUAUUCAGGAUAUGGUAAGUAAAGCGUGGAGAUUAGUCACAGCCCUUGUGACUAAACGAUGGUAAAGCUGAAGCAGUCCGCAUGGUGGUAACUUUGGUAAUAUCUAGUGCCGGCAGGAUGAAGCUGAAGCUGAAGCUCGUAUAAGAAAACAAAUAUAAAAGAUAAAGAAAAGGUAAAAGACAAAUAUCAUGACCCCACGACAAUGAAAAGAAAGAAAAAAAAAAAGGAAUUAUCAUAGCAAAUUGAAUUAUUGAAGAGUUCUAAAGUCUUUGUCAUCUGGGUUCUGGAUUCGUUGACUUUCAUAACUCAUAAGCGAUCAGAUGAGUUCAAUGGAAACAAGUCCCUUCAUCUUCAUGAUCAUCUGAAAGCUUCAAUUGAUGCAGUAAGUUCUUCGUCCAACUAUAUCUAUAUGGGAAAUCCAUUAUUUAUUCGUUAUUUAUUUCAUUUGCUUCAUCUUAAUUGCAGCUAUAUAUAUGGUUUCAUGUUCAACACUUUGUUAAUUGCACUAAAGUUUUCAACUUCAACUGAAAACUUUCUGAUGCAAGUCACCAACUGGGUAAACUCAAAGUUGACAAAUUCCCAAUUGGGUAAGCUCAGAGUUCAAAAAUUGUCUUGUAAAAAGUUUUCUUAUAAUUAAAACAACAAAAGCACUCCUAGAAACCAAUCCAAACCAGAUAGAGAAAAAAUAAAAGCAAAAGCAAAAAAUUAUGACCCCAUGACAAUGAAGAUAGAGAAAAAAGUGGAAAGUACAGCUUUCUUUCUGGUCACAAAGAGGAGGACUUAUCAUGGCAAAUUGAAUUAUUGAAGAGCUCUAAAUUAAGUCUUUGUCGUCUGGAAUCUGGAUGCAUAGUCUGAAAACUUUCUGAUGCAAAUCACCAGCUCAAAGUUGACAAAUUCCCAAUUGGGUAAGCUCAGAGUUCAAAAAUUGUCAAUUGAGUAAGCUCAUAUUUCACCCCCUCUCUGAUUAAUGAUGCUCUCUGAUUAAAGAUGGACAAUAUUCACAUUUCAAAGAUAAAAUUGAUUAAAAGAGCAAUUUUUAAAAUGUGUGAACAAAAGUGUAAUAAUUUGUCAAAACGUGCUAACUAACAACCCUUAUAUUAUUCAAGUCAUGUCAUAUCAAAGUUAUAGUAUACUCGUUCGUUCAAAAAAACAAAAAGUUAUAGUAUACUCGUUAUAUGAAAAUUCUUUGUGCUUUAUACAUUUUAAAUUGUACACAUGAAAGUCAUUCAAAACAUAAUAACAGUUGCCAUGCGUUUUCCUGAUCUGCCAAAUGAUCAAGUUUGUUUCUUUGACCUUCGUGUGUUUUGUUAGGUGGUUCCUGCAAUCCCACCUCCCCCCCUCCUCUUUCUUUUUCUGAUUAAUGAAGGGCAUGAACCUUCACAUAUAAAAUUGAUUGAACAGCAGUUUUAAAAAGUGAAUCAAAAGUGCCACAAUUUGUCAAAAGUUGUCCACUAUGAGUCUAUGACUAAUUGCCCCUGUAAUAUUCGAGGAAUGUGAUAUCACAUCAAUGUUGUACUUGUUUUAUGGAAAAUUUUCAUGGCCGUUAUAUAUUAGACUAAGUAAAUGAAUGAAUCAUUCAAAACAUAAAGCUUUUCUAAUUUUUUUUUCUUUGAUGUUAAGUUUCUCUUCAGGCGUUAUUAUGUUAUUUAUUUGAAAUAUUAACUCAAUGGUGAACUAGAUAAGUGAUUCUCGUAGAAAGAAUAUAACGUUCUAACUUUUCUUGUUCGUGGAUUGUCGUGGGGAUACUGGAAUUGCAACUUUUCUAGCAUAUGCUGUUGGUGGAAUACUGACACAAUCGCAAACCUAAUUCUUUUAAAAAAUUGGUUUGUUUUGUAGUUUCUUAUCUUUUAAGUUCUGUUUUGGAGGCAUUUGGUCAUAUGUCACUUUUUCGUGUCUCGUCAUCAAGAUGAGUAAAAUUUAUGUCAUUCUCUCAUUAAGUGUAAUUUUUUUUUCAUUUCAAUAAAGUUUCCUUGUACCACCAAGAUUCUACCAAAACAAAAUGACAAACGAUAGAUAAUAUACACUAAAUUCAUCUAAAUUAUGAGAAAAGAGAAGAAUUUAGACCCAAAACAUAAUAGUUUGAAAAGAAAAACCUCAGCCCAAGAUAACCCACAAUUUGUGAUAUUACACUCCAUCGUGAAAAUCUUGCUCAAUUUUCAUUUCUUAAACAUCUAUUCAGGAUAUGGCAAGUAACCUGUGGAGAUUAGUUACAGCCCUUGUGACUAAACGAUGGUAAAGCUGAAGCAAUCCGCAUGGUAGUAACUUUGGUAAAAUCUGGGGUCGGUAGGAUAAAGAGCCCUGGGGGUGUUUACCAAGGACAAGGAUUCUCUUCUCCUUUUUUCCCAUAUAUUUCCAUCAUCCUUUUGUUUGUGUGGUCACGAUUAAGUUAAGUCUUUUUGUCUUAUUAUCUCUAUAAAAAAUCAAUAUAAAAUAUUGACAUGACUUAACCAUGACCACACAAAUAGGAAAUGAUGGAAGUGUUUGGAAAAAAGAAGGAGAGAAUCCUUGUCCGUUUACCAAUUGCCAUGCGUUUCUUGGUCUCUGCCAAAUUAUCAAUUUUGCUUUCUUUUCUUGUCCUUGGCUCACGAUAAAUAGUACAUUUUAAUUUGCUCAUUACUAUAAAUUAUGAUCUACGUUCAUUAUACAUCUUAAAUUAUGUCAUGUGUCUUUUGAUCCAACUCUAAUUAACUUAUAUAUAUAUAUAUUUUUUUUUUUUUUGAACAAUUGAUAUUAUCUACAUUAAAAGAAUGAUGAACUUAGCCUCACAAUAGACUUGUAAUAAUAUGGUUCAAAUUCACAUUUGGAUAUAAUCAAACCUAAAACCUUUCACUUACCAGUGAAGAGGAAUACCACUAGACCACAAUACUAAAUGACUAAGUAACUUCUAUUAAAUAUUAUUUUUUUAAUUUUGAAAAGUAUUAAAAAAAACAAAAAUAUCCCCUUCUUCUUCAUUCUGGCCCCUCUCUUCCUUCUCCGUAUUAAUAAUUGGACUAUUAUUUGAUAAAAGUGUUUAUCCUUAUUAAUGCUACAUUAUUUAGCUUGUAAAUCUUAUUUACAAAUUUAGUCCCGAUUACCUUUUUUUUAUAACAUAAACAUUAUGACCCCACGACAGUAAAGAGAGAACAAUAAAGAGGAAAGCAACACUUUCUUUCUGGUCACAAGAGGACUUAUCAUGACCAAUUGAAUUACUGAAAGAGCUAUAAAGUCUUUGUCAUCUGGAAUCUGGAUUUGUUGAUUUUAAUAAGCGAUCACUUUCUUUCUGGUCACAAGAGUACUUAUCAUGGCAAAUUGAAUUAUUGAAAGAGCUCUAAAAUCUUUGUCAUCUGGAAUCUGAAUUUGAUGAUUUUCAUAAGCGAUCACAUCGAUGGAAACGCGUCCCUUCAUCUUCUUGGUCAUCCGAAAACUUCAAUUGAUACUGUAAGUUCUUCCAACUAUAUCAAUAUGGGAAAUCCAUUAUUUAUUCAUUAAUUAUUUCAUUUUCUUCUUCUUAAUUGCAGCUAUAUAUAUAUAUGAUUUAAUGUUCAACACCAUGUGCAGUCAUAAGCUCGAGCCUCAAGCUUCCAUGGAACUACUUAAAUCUUAAUUGCACUAAAGUUCUCAACUUCAAGUCUUCAACUGAUCCUCGGAAGCAAGUGUCCUCGUGAUCCGACGACUUUCAUGUAAGUUCUUGCUACACAUUCGGUCUUAUAUCCAUCCGAGUUUCAAGUUGUGUAACUUGUCGUGUCCUAAAUUAAUAGUGUUUCUUAAAUAUGUAAACAAUAUAUAAUUUUUGACAUAUCCGAUUGAGCUCCGGUGCAUCCAUAUAAUUAGUUUCAUUUGCUUAAAUUGUGCAGCUGUGACUACUUGUGAGCCUUGAUUGGUAUUGGUCAGCGGAUCAAACUUAAAUUCUUUCUCUUCUUCCAUAAAAAAUAAUAAUAAAAAAAUAAAAAAAAUAAAAAAAAUUCAAUGCUCAUAGGUCGUAGUAUUGAAGAAAAUUUCUUAAAAUAAAAACAAUAAAAACACUUCUAGUAGAAUUAAUUAAAAUUCAGGGGGUUUCAAAUCAAUUGACUUAAAAAAAAAAAAAAAGCCCAUGAUUAAAGCUAAAACCCAAUCCAUACCAGAUCGCGACCAUUUUUACAUUAACUACAAUAGCAUACAAAAAAUGAAAAAAACUGAACUGAUUACUCACAAAGCAAAAUAAUGUAAUCUAUGUUACAAAGCAUUAUAGCUUUUAACUUUUCUACCAUGUGCUGUUUCUUGUGCUUUGUGCUUUGUGCUGUGCGCUCAGGACAUAAGUUUUUUAUUACACAGGAAAAAGUAGAAGACAAAAUUAUGCCCCGCGGCAACGAAGAGAGAGAGAAAACAAAGAGGAGGAUUUAUCAUAGCACAUUGAACUAUUGAAAGCUCUGAAAUCUUUGUCGUUUGGAAUCUUUGACCCCAGUACGAGAUCAGAUCAGAUCAGAUGGAAUCAAGUCUCUCCAUCUUCAUGAUCAUCUAAAAACUUCAAUUAAUGCAGUAAGUUCUUCUUCCAUUUAUAAUUAUAUGGGAAAUCCAUUAUUUAUUUAAUUAUUUCAUUUUCUUCAUCUUAAUUGCAGGCUUUGUAGCUAUAUAUAUAUUUAUGUGGUUUAAUGUUCAACAGUUUGUGCAGUUUUAAGCUCAACAGCUCAAGCGUCCAGGAAACCACUCAGCCUUAACUGCGCUAAAGUUUUCAACUUCAACUAAAACUUGAUCCCGGGAAGCAAGUGUUCUCUUGAUCUGACGAUCUGUUUCCACGUAAGUUCUCACUACGCAUCUGGUCUUAUUAAUUAAUAAUGUAAUGUGUUUCAAGUUGUGGAACGUGUCACGUUCUAAAUUAAUAAUGUUAUUUUAAAUGUAACAAAUAUAUUAUUUUGUAGUUUCGAAUUUAUCUUUCGUGUUCUGUCUUUCAACUUAAGCAAUUUUAAGUAAAACGUAAUUGAACAUACCAUGUAACUGAACUAAUUGAACAUACCAAUAAUUAGUUUCAUCUGUUUUAAUUGUGCAGCUGUGACUACUUGUGAAUCUUAAUUGGUAUUGCUCCACGGAUCAGACUUCCAGUUCAAGAAACUAUGGCCGCAGAUGCUUUUCUUGGGGCAUUUCUCCGAGUGUUGAUUUGCAAGUUGGCAGAUCGCGAGGUCAUCAGGUACUUUGGACGCGUAAAGGGCAUUGAUAAAAAUCUGAAGAAAUGGAGUGACACCUUGUCUGCAAUUGAAGCGGUUCUGAAUGACGCGGAGGAAAGGCAGCUGAUGGCUGAGAGCACCGCACUGAAGCUCUGGCUCGAUAAUCUCAGGGACUUGGCUUUUGAUGCGGAAGACGUGUUGGAUAAAUGUCAUACUAAAAUGUUGAAACGUCUGAUACAACAUGCUCUCAUUCCAGCACAACAAGCAAAGCAUGGAAAUCAAUUCCUAAUCGCGUUUCCAACUUCAAAACAACAAGCAAAGCAUGGAAAUCAAUUCCUAAUCGUGUUUCCAACUUCAAAAUGAACUCGGAAAUACAGAAGAUUACCAAGCGAUUACAAGUGAUAUCCGAAAGAAAAGACCAGCUUGGUUUGAAAAUUGAUACUGGGACGUUGACUAAAAGGGCACGCCAACUCAUAUCGCCUAGUUCUAGUCUACCAGAUGGACCUGUGAUUGGAAGGGAGGAGGACAAAAGGAAGAUUGUUGAGCUUCUGUUGAAACAGGAGCAUCGGGCUGCCAAUUUCUAUGUUGUUGCAAUUGUCGGUAUGCCUGGAGUCGGAAAGACAACACUUGCUGGACAAGUACUCAAAGAUAUGGUUGCAACCCAAAUGUUUCAACCAGCCGUUUGGGGUGUGCGUGUCUGACGACUUCAACCUUGAAAAGAGUGACAAAGCAAAUUCUUGAAUCAAUCACAUCCCAGCAAUGUACCACAAAAGAUUACAAUAAGGUUCAAAAUGAUCUGCAUAAGAAGUUAGCAGGGAAGAAGUUUUUAAUUGUUUUAGACGAUGUUUGGAAAACGUGUAGCCACGGUGACUGGAAGAAGCUGCAGUCCCCGUUUAUAGAUGGAGCACAUGGAAGCAAGAUAAUUGUGACAACACGUGAUAAAGAUGUUUCAAAAAUGAUGGGAGCUGCUAUGCUGGUUCACAAUCUGAAGCCUAUGGAGGAUGAUGUUUGUUUGCAAGUAUUUGAGCAGCAUGCAUUCUUGAAUGCUAACGACAGACCACCAAACUACGAGUUACUUAGGAAGAAAAUUGUUGCAAGGUGUAGGGGAUCGCCUUUGGCCGCGAGGACCCUCGGUGGCGUUCUACUUUGUAAAGAAAUAAAUGAUUGGGAAGAAACAUUGAGCAACAAGUUGUGGAGUCUGUCAAAGGAGCAUGACAUACUUCGCGUGCUGAGACUAAGUUACUUUUAUCUUCCUUCACAUUUGAAAAGAUGCUUUGCCUAUUGCUCAAUACUUCCAAAUGACUAUGAAUUCGGGGAGAUGCAAAUGAUCCUUCUGUGGAUGGCCGAGGGUUUGAUUCAUCAUCAACCAGAAGAUAAUAAGCAAAUUGAAGAUUUAGGUGCUGAUUAUUUUCGGGAGCUCGUAUCUAGGUCAUUGUUUCAAAAGUCAACCAAAAAUACUUCAAAAUAUGUGAUGCAUGACCUCAUUGGUGAUUUAGCACGAUGGGCAGCUGGAGAUGUUUGUUUUAGAUUGGAGGAUAAGCAAAAUAAUGAUGGUGUACAACCUAUAUGUUUUUCGAAGGCACGCCAUUCGUCUUACCUUAUGGGUGAGUAUGAGGUGGUUAAAAGAUUUGAGGCAAUUUCUGAAGUGAAAUGUUUGCGAACCUUCUUGCCACUGAGAAAGGGUUCUCCCUACAAUUAUUUAGGUCGUCAGGUUACCUUUGAUUUAUUGCCAAAAUUGCAAUACUUGCGGGUGCUCUCUUUUAAUGGCUAUAGAAUAACUGAGCUGCCAAACUCAAUUGGUGAUUUGAGAUAUCUACGGUAUCUUGACCUUUCCUACACAGCUAUAACUAGUUUGCCUAAAUCGACAAGUACUCUUUACAACCUGCAGACAUUGAUAUUGGAAGGCUGUUCAGAUUUGAAGUCAUUGCCUGCAGACAUGAGUAAUCUAGCUAAUUUACGCCAUCUCAACAACUCAGAUGUGUCUUCGUUGGAAGGAAUGCCUCCAAAACUAGGUAGAUUGGUGAAUCUCCAAUCUUUGCCUAAUUUUGUGGUCAGUGCUGGAAGUGAUCAAUCAGGAAUAAGAGAGAUAGGGCCCCUAUCGCAUCUCCAAGGGACAUUGUGCAUCUCAAGAUUGGAGAAUGUGACUGAUGUCGAGGAUGCUCAGUGGGCCAACUUAAAAUACAAGGUGAGGCUUGAUUCGUUGGUCCUAAAAUGGUCACAUUCAAGCGACACAAGAGAAAUGGAAUCUACUGUGCUUGACAUGUUAGAGCCUCAUAGAGAGAUCAAGGAGCUCACCAUCAAGAGUUAUGCCGGGAAGAAAUUUUCAUCAUGGGUUGGAGGUCAUUUGUUCUCUAAUAUGGGGCUUGUGCGCUUAGAGGAAUGUAACAAUUGUUUGUCGUUGCCACCUCUCGGACAAUUGCCUCAACUCAAAGAACUUUAUAUUAGGAGGAAUGAAUGCAGUGGAAAGGGUUGGUGCUGAGUUUUAUGGAGAGCGUAACUUGCCUUUUCGGGUAUUAGAGACUCUUGAUUUUGUGGAAUUGCAGCAUUGGAAGGAAUGGCUUCCUUUCUUACUGGAUCACGAAAGUGGUGCUUUCCCUUGCCUGAAAAGGAUGUCAAUAACAAAAUGUUCUAAACUGGAGGGUAAGCUGCCAGAGAACCUCAAUUCUUUAGCGAAGCUUGAAAUUGUUAAAUGUGAAGAAUUAGUGGUUUCAAUUGCCAACUACAAACAACUUCGUCAGUUAAACAUUGACGGUUGUAAAGUGUUGGUGCAUACAGCUGGUAAGGUUGAGUUUGAGUUAUUAGAGUCCUUGUGGCUUUCAAACAUUUCGGAGGUGAUGUCUCUGGAAACAGGGGAAUUGUUCAAGAAGGGAUUAACCAAGGUUAGUGAUUUGAUGAUUAAUGGAUGUGAGGAGGUGACGUCUUCAUUGAAGAAUGAGGGUAGAUUAUUGCAGCAGUUGACUUCUCUUAAUAGUUUGGAAAUUGAAGACAACUAUCGUCUAGUUGAAGAAUUGGGAAAAGAAGCAGAGGAGUUGCAAAUAUUGGAGUGCAGGCUUGAAUAUCUAAAGUUUAAAAAGUGCGAAAAUCUUUUGAAGCUACCAAAAGGAUUAAAUCAGCUGUCGUCUCUUCAAGAGCUUCGCAUACACGAAUGUUCACGUCUAGUUUCUUUCCCAGAUGUAGGUCUGCCACCUUCUCUUGAAAACGUCGAGAUUAGAGAGUGCCAUUCGUUGAUAUAUUUUGCAAAAUUCCAGAUUCCCCAAAAUCUCAAAAGAAUAGAGAUAAGAAAGUGCAAAAGUUUGAAAUCACUAGUGGAUGAGGAGGCUGUUGGUUCUUCUUGGUCGUCUUCUUCUCAUAUUUGUCUUGAGUACUUGAAGAUCGAAGGAUGUGAAUCUCUGACGUCGUUAUCAUUGAGUGGCCAGCUUCUCAGGACACUUAAACACCUUGAGAUACUUGGUUGUGAACAACUGGAGCUAAUCGCAGAGGACGGGUUCUUCCACGACAACACUAAUUAUUGUCUUGAAUACCUUAAUCUCUGGAAGUGCCAAAAUCUGAAAUCCUUACCGGAUGGCUUAUGCCACCUCAGCAAUCUGAGAAAGCUAUAUAUUCAAGAUUGUGGAAGUCUUGUUUCUUUCCCGAGACUGAGCGGGGGGAGACUACCCUCCAACCUGAGAGAGAUCCAGAUCACCAGUUGCGAGAAAUUGGAGGCGUUGCCUGAAGACAUGCACAAUCUCAACUCUCUUGAGGAAUUGAGGAUCGAGUACCGUGAAGGUUUGACUUUUCCUUCCAACCUCACGUUUCUUGAAAUUUGGAAGGUAAGGAGCUGUAAGUCAUUUUGGGAGUUGGAAUGGGGGUUGCACAGACUCACCUCUCUUAGAUACUUGUGGAUCGGAGGUGAAGACCCGGAUACGGUGUCGUUUCCACCCGACAUGGUCCGGAUGGAGACGCUCAUUCCCAUAUCUCUUACUCACCUCACAAUAAAAGGCUUCCCGAAUCUGAAGAAACUGAGCAGUAAAGGCUUUCAACUCCUCACCUCCCUUCAAUCUCUGCAUCUCUGGAAUUGUCCAAAGCUAGCAUCCAUUCCAGAGGAGGGUCUGCCUCCUUCACUAGAGCGACUUACCAUCUCUGAGUGCCCAAUGCUAAAAGAGAGAUGCCAACCAGGAAAAGGACGCUACUGGCAAAAUAUCCCACAUCCCUAAAAUACAGAUCGAUUGACAGCCGAUUUGAAGCUGAUAGUUGAUUCGAUCCCAUUCUCUAGGUCCAGGUAUCAUCUUCUCAAGGAAUGUUUUGUUAUUAUUAUUAUUAUCCACAAUAUUUGUUUUUUAUUUUUUUUAAAUUUAUGUCCUUCAUGUGGCUGAAGAUUUUCGGGGUUUCAUGAGUGGCUGCUUUGGGAGACCUUCAUUUGGCUCACACAGUAGAGCUGGUUCUGUCUUGCUUUGAGGGCGAUUCUUUGACGACAACAACCAUGGCUAUUUCUGGGCCAAGGUUUCUUCUCUCGCGUUCCUCGCAACACUAGUUUAUUUGGAGCCCAUGGGAUCUCAGAUCGAGUUGAGUGAGCAGGAUAGUUUUGUUGAAUUUGAAUAUGAUUUCCUGGCGUGGGGGGCAGAGGACUGGAAAAACUGGGAAUCUGGUGUGGUGGGAAAAAAAAAUGCAUGAAAUCGUUUGAUCUUGAAGGGACCAUUUGGAUCUCCACAUGGCCAAUCCUUGGAUUUGAUUGGUUCUGAUGAUACAAAAGCCUGAGCUUGACGGGUUCGUUAUGCAAACAGAUGAUGAACCAACUAGCAUUGCUGGAAAGGGAAAUAGCUUUGACGAGUGAGGAUAGUCAUAGUUGCUCGAGAAAGAAACUUUAUGAUAUUGGUCAGGCGUUUUAUGGAAGGUCAAGAGGGUGUGGAUAUGAGGACCAUAUAAGUUGCAUAAUUUUCCACAUCUCUACCAGUCUCUUCCAACUGGGCUUCUAGAGGGUGUGGAUAUGAGGACCAUGAAUGGUGCUGUCAAGCAAUUAGAGGAUGGUCUGAAACUUGAGCGGUCAAGAAUGGAGCAGGAGAAUAUGAAGCAGUUGGAGCUGCAGAAAAUGGAAAGAAGAAGAGAGGAAGAAAAAAGAGGCUGAUAUGGCAUCAAAGAAGAGACAAAGGGAAUAGGAAGAAAGGAAGGAGAAGGAAAGAAAAAGAAUGCGUGUUGAAGCUCGUAGACAGCGGAGAGAACAUGAAGACAAGUUACCUGCUGAAAAACUAGAGAAAGAAAUGAAAAACCACUCCACUGUAUGAUUCUUUAUGCUCUGCCUCAUUUCAUAUAUAUUUUGCAAUGUUAGAUUUCACAUUCUAUAUUGGGCUUUCUUGUAUAGGAUGGAAGAAGCCCUGGCGGUAAGAAAUUUAAAAUGGACAAAGAAAGGGGAUUUGACAAUUCCAGAAAUAUUUUGGAGACUGAGCCUAGUACUUCCAGGAUUUCAAUAAGCAAUGCCAGAAGAAAAUAUUAUCCACGAAAAGUUCCAUGAGGCCUCGAGUAGUUAUGGAUAUAAAGCAGAGGUAAAUGCUAAUGACUUUUUAACAAUCGAUACCCGCCAUAUCUUAGGAUCUAGUUGCAUAUGUUGAGUGCUUUUACUUGCAUAGGCAGGAGCAGAGUGAUAAACUGUGAGCAUAGCAUGAAUUAUAAUCCUCUGUUGUUGAAGUUUGCAUACGACCUCUAAAUUUGUUGGGUUGAACCUAUUUUGAGGCCUUCUUUAUACCAGGAAAUAGGGCUACACUCGCCUAAGUGCAAGAGUUCUCUUCUUUUAAAACUCCUAAUAGCUUAUUGUAAACUCAAGUCUGAACCACCUUUAGAAAGUUUUUCAAGUCUGAACCACCUUUAGAAAGUUUUCUUAUUCAUGAAUAGCUGCAUGCUGUUGUGCACUUUUACCUUGUCUGUAAAGCCUCUCGCUGAUACUUCCUGUGAUAUUUAAGGUACCUAGCAAUUUAGACAGAGAAAUGGAGAAUUCACUUGGCAUUACAAGUCAAGUGCAGUAUUAUGACAUCUCUGCAUACAAAGAAUCUGAUGAUGAAAACGACGAUGACGAUAAUGUCAUACCAAAUAGUAAAUUUAUUCCUUCAUGGUUAAGGUAUGUUUUUCAAUUGUUAUAUAUGAAAUAUGAUCUUCAAGUUAAAGAGCGUCACAAUCAUCUUGGUGAUAUGUAUCUUUAGCGAAAGGCAUAGAUUGUGUACCCUUUGAAAGUGUCAACUCAGCUGCGCUAUAAAAUAUCUGUUGUUUGGUUCUUGUUUUGUGCAGUAAAAACUGCCUGGCUUUUGCCGUUUCUAGCCAGAAUAGAGCAGAUCCAAAGACGAUAUUCGCCCCCCCCCCCCCCCCCCCCCCCCCCCCCCCCCCCCCCAGAAAGCUUUUGCUGCAUCUCUGAAGGUACUUUUAUGGUUUAAAGUCCCGAUCUUCGUAGCUAUUGCAUUGGCAUUUUGGCUGGUCAAUUUUUAGAUACUGCUGGACUAAGUUCCAAUAUGCUCAUUUGCAGUCCUCUUGCCCGAAAAGCAUCAAUUAAACAACAGCGGAAUGUGCUAAACUCUAUUCAGUAUAUUCCUCAGUAAUAAGAGCUUUUGAUCAUGAAGAGGUAAUGUUUACCUUUAUUGAUUAUUCUCAUUUUUCCUCUCCAUGCUCUAAACUACAUUUACGCUGCCAGUUUGGUUGUUAAAGGAGCAAUUUUCCUUCUGCGAAAUGUAAAAUGCCUUUAGUUACUGCCUAUCAAACCAAAAUACUUGUAGUAAUUGGUUUUUAUUUCUCGUUGCAGAUUUUCAAAGUCUAUUUGUGAACAGUUUCUUGAGCAGGCAACACCCUUCCAAGCCGAAAUGUAGCUGAAACGUGUAGAACUUUUUUUUUUAAUUUUUUUAUUUUUAUAUAUAGGAGUCUGUUGUAACUUAUCUCAGAUAAUUUGCAGUGUGAUUGUAGUUAAGAAGAGUAACAAGUUCCAUUGGCAGAAGGGCAAUUGCAUGAGCUAUUGAGUAAUUUGGUCAGCAUCUCCUGCUGCCUUGUUUUUUCUUUGGCACCGCCACUUUGGUCGGCAUUGGUUUCAGUUUUACUUUUAGCCCUCCUGAAGGAUGAUAAGAGAAGGCUAGAAAAAGUAUGUAUUUUGCAUGUUGAGUGCUUUUACUUGCAUAGUCUGGAGCAGAGUGAUAAACUGUGAGCGUAGCAUGAAUUAUAAUCCUCUGUUGAUGUAGUUUGCAUGGGACCUUUAAGCUUGUUGGGUUUUAACUCUUUUGUGGCCUUCCUUUUGCUAUCGUUACCACAAUAUAGGAAAGAAGGCUACAAUCGACUAAGUGCAAGAGUUUUCUUAUGUUAAAACUCCUAAUAGCUUAUUGUAAACUCAAAUCUGAACCACUGGUAGAAACUGCCGGGCUCCAAAAUAAUCUAUUGUUUGGUUCUUGUUUUGUACAGUAAAAACUGCCUGGCUUUUGCCGUUUCUUGCCAGAAUAGAGCAGACCCAGCGACGAUCUUCCCCCGAGAAAGCUUUUGCUGCAUCUCUGAAGGUACUUUUAUGGUUUAAAGCCAUGGUCUUAGUAGCUAUUGCUUUGGCAUUUUUGGCUAAUCAAUUUUUAGAUACUGCUGGACUAAGUUCCAAUAUGUGGGCACACGAGAAAGGAUAAGAUUAGGAAUGAGGAUAUCCGGGGUAAAGUAGGAGUAGCCGAAAUUGAAGGAAAGAUGAGAGAAAAUCGGUUACGGUGGUUUGGACAUGUGCAAAGAAGGCCUACUGACGCUCCGAUUAGAAGAUGCGACUAUGGGACACAGGUUCAGGGCCGAAGGGGUAGAGGAAGACCUAGGAAAACUUUGGAAGAGACUCUAAGAAAAGACUUAGAGUACUUGGAUCUAACGAAGGACAUGACACAGGACCGAGCACAAUGGCGUUCUAAGAUUCAUAUAGCCGAUCCCACUCAGUGACUUGGAUUUUCCAAGUCUCCAACCGAGAAGUUUUCCUCAUUCGGGAAAUUAAGGGAACACUACCUCAACCUACAUGCUCCACUCACAAAGCUUCAACAUACAAGCUUCAAUAAAAGAAAAUUCAAAGAACUUAGCGAAGAAGGCUUUGGUGUAUUUAACACAAACGUUGAAAUGAAGGAAAGCUUAUUUAUUGAUAUUCCCGAUAAGAUACAAAUAUGUACAUAUACAUAAGUCAAAAUAAACAAACAAGAGGGAGUCUUCACAAAGGUUGCUUAGGAGAAGUCUCAGCAGUCGGUAGCCCCAGAAAGAGAAGGCACCGGAGGGGGAUCAUUCAGAGCCUCAGUACUGGACAGAAUCCUAGAAGGAGGAGGAAUCAGAGGUUGAUCAUUUGGAGCUUCAUUACGCGGUACAGCCCCAGAAGAUGAAGGCAAUAAAUGCUUUUGGAUUAAACCCACAAAUCUUUGAUGAUCAAGUAAAACCUGACCAUCAGAUUCCUUCAUCUGGUCAAGCUUCCUCUUCAUGUUUGUAGCAUAGUCAUGGGCGAGCUGGUGCAACUGUUUAUUCUCAUGCUUAAGCCCUCUAAUCUCCUGUUUGAGACUCAUCUUUUCAGCCGCCAAUGAUUCAACUUGGCAGGUUCGAGCAAAUAGGCGUUGGGCCAUAUUAGACACAGAACCUGCACACUGAACACUGAGAACUGGCGAAUCCUUAACAGCUAACUCAUCAGACCGUUUGGAAAGUAGUCUGUUAUCUUUGGGAGUGAGAAGGUUCCUGGCCACCACCGCAGCGGUCAUAUCAUUCUUCAUUACGGAAUCCCCAACGGUAAGAGGACCAGUAGGGGAGACGAAGGAUGGGCGCCAUAUGUUGUCUGGAGAAGGCGGGGCUGCCUCUUCAACAAGGUUCAAGUCAAAACGACGGUCGGAAGGGCCAGACAUUUUCAAAGGUGUUGAAGAGAGAAGAGGUCGGACAAAUCAAGAUCUUAGAAGUGCAAGAAUGGAGCUUCUACUGGUGGAUUUCAAGUGUGCUUUAGAACUUAAUGCCAGCCCUUAUAAAAAUCUGCACUCGACGGAGCUUUAGAAAUCGAAGAGGCGUUUGCUUUCUCAAAAGCUGGGCUGCUCAGAGACCACGAGGGUUGAUCUCAGAAAUCGAAGAGGCGUUUGCUUUCUCAAAAGCUGGGCUGCUCAAAGACCACGAAGGCCAAUCUCAGAAAUCGAAGAGGCGCUCGCUUUCUCAAAAGCUGGGCUACUCAGAGACCACGAGGGCCGAUCUCAGAAAUCGAAGAGGCACCUACUUUUCCAGCCUUGUCAGCACCUGUCACACGCACACUCAACUUUGCGGAAAUUAUGGGCAUUCUGUCGAAGACUUCUGGUAAAGUAGAAAACACAUGAACCUUACUGCUCAAUCACCCACUUCCCACACGCAACAAUAGCUCAUGGGUACCACAGAUAACUUUGCCAAAGUUCUCUGCCAAAGUUGAGCACGUGAAGCUUGCAGCUCCUACUACAUCGCUCUAACCAAGAAGGGUAAAAGAAUAGUAAAGAAACAGCACUAACAAAGUUUAGACACAUAAAUUUUGAAGGCCUAGCUACCAUAUUAUUACCCACAAGGGUAAAGGAACAGUACCACUGCUGGAUAAUUGGAAAGUCCCUGUGUGUCAACCUCUGUGCUUCGUGGCAAGGUAGACUAGCAAACAUGCCCAACAUUUACUCACAUUCGAGAAAACUCCCAACAAGAUUGCUUGCUCCAAAAUCGAAGAGGCACCGUCCUCCGAAUCUCGGGAGCCAGACUCCCAACAUGACUACUGUCUCAAAAAUCGAAGAGAGGGUAAGGGAACAGUACCAUUGCUGGAUAAUUGGAAAGUCCCUGUGUGUCAACCUCUGUGCUUCGUGGCAAGGUAGACUAGCAAACAUGCACAACCUUUACUCACAUUCGAGAAAACACUCCCAACAAGAUUGCUUGCUCCAAAAUCGAAGAGGCACCGCCCUCCGAAUCUCGAGAACCAGACUCCCAACAUGAUUACUUUCUCAAAAAUCGAAGAGACACCGCUCUCCGAAUCUCGAGAGCCACACCCCCAGCGCGAUUACUUUCUCAAAAAUCGAAGAGGCAUUGUUCUCCGAAUCAAUCGAAGAGGUGCUCGCUUUCUCAAAAGCUGGGCUGCUCAGAGACCACGAGGGCCGAUCUCAGAAAUCGAAGAGGCACCUACUUUUCCAGCCUUGUCAGCACCUAUCACACGCACACUCAACUUUGCGGAAAUUAUGGGCAUUCUGUCGAAGACUUCUGGUGAAGUAGAAAGCACAUGAAUCUUACUGUUCAAUCACCCACUUCCCACACACAACAAUAGCUCAUGGGUACCACAGAUAACUUUGCCAAAGUUCUCUGCCAAAGUUGAGCACGUGAAGCUUGCAGCUCCCACUACAUCGCUCUGACCAAGAAGGGUAAAAGAAUAGCAAAGAAACAGCACUAACAAAGUUUAGACACAUAAAUUUUGAAGGUCUAGCUACCAUAUUAUUACCCACAAGGGUAAAGGAACAGUACCACUGCUGGAUAAUUGGAAAGUCCCCGUGUGUCCACCUCAGUGCUUCGUGGCAAGGUAGACUAGUAAACAUGCCCAACCUUUACUCACUUUCGAGAAAACACUCCCAACCAGAUUGCUUGCUCCAAAAUCCACCGUCCUCCGCAUCUCGAGGGCCAGACUCCCAACAUGACUACUUUCUCAAAAAUCGAAGAUGGUAAAGGAACAGUACCAUUGCUGGAUAAUUGGAAAGUCCCUGUGUGUCAACCUCUGUGCUUCGUGGCAAGGUAGACUAGCAAACAUGCCCAACCUUUACUCACAUUCGAGAAAACACUCCCAACAAGAUUGCUUGCUCCAAAAUCGAAGAGGCACCGCCCUCCAAAUCUCGAGAGCCAGACUCCCAACAUGAUUACUUUCUCAAAAAUCGAAGAGACACUGCUCCCCGAAUCUUCGAGAGCCAGACCCCCAGCAUGAUUGCUUUCUCAAAAAUCGAUGAGGCAUCGUUCUCCGAAUCAAUCGAAGAGGCGCUCGCUUUCUCAAAAGCUGGGCUGCUCAGAGACCACGAGGGCCGAUCUCAGAAAUCGAAGAGGCACCUACUUUUCUAGCCUUGUCAGCACCUGUCACACGCACACUCAGCUUUGCAGAAAUUAUGGGCAUUCUGUCGAAGACUUCUGGUGAAGUAGAAAGCACAUGAAUCUUACUGUUCAAUCACCCACUUCCCACACACAACAAUAGCUCAUGGGUACCACAGAUAACUUUGCCAAAGUUCUCUGCCAAAGUUGAGCACGUGAAGCUUGCAGCUCCCACUACAUCGCUCUGACCAAGAAGGGUAAAAGAAUAGCAAAGAAAUAGCACUAACAAAGUUUAGACACAUAAAUUUUGAAGGUCUAGCUACCAUAUUAUUACCCACAAGGGUAAAGGAACAGUACCACUGCUGGAUAAUUGGAAAGUCCCCGUGUGUCCACCUCAGUGCUUCGUGGCAAGGUAGACUAGUAAACAUGCCCAACCUUUACUCACUUUCGAGAAAACACUCCCAACCAGAUUGCUUGCUCCAAAAUCCACCGUCCUCCGCAUCUCGAGGGCCAGACUCCCAACAUGACUACUUUCUCAAAAAUCGAAGAGGGUAAAGGAACAGUACCAUUGCUGGAUAAUUGGAAAGUCCCUGUGUGUCAACCUCUGUGCUUCGUGGCAAGGUAGACUAGCAAACAUGCCCAACCUUUACUCACAUUCGAGAAAACACUCCCAACAAGAUUGCUUGCUCCAAAAUCGAAGAGGCACCGCCUUCCGAAUCUCGAGAGCCAGACUCCCAACAUGAUUACUGUUUCAAAAAUCGAAGAGACACCGCUCUCCGAAUCUCGAGAGCCAGACCCCCGCAUGAUUGCUUUCUCAAAAAUCGAAGAGGCAUCGUUCUCCGAAUCUCGAGAGCCAGAUCCUCGAUAGGAUUGCUUGUUCGAAAAUCGAAGAGGCACCACUUUCCCAACUUCAAGAGCCGGAUCUCCUUGGAUAAAGCUUGUCUGUAAUCUUCACACGCAACAUCAGCUUUCUAGAUACCACAGACCACUUUUUCAAAGUGCUCUGACAGAGUUAAAACAUGUGAAGCUGGCAGCUCCCACUACCGUGCUAUGACCAAGCAGGGUAAAGGAAUAGCAUUACUACUUGUUGUUAGGGAAACUCCUAUAUAUGUCGACCUUCAUCCCUAACGGACAGGCAGACCUGCAAAAAUGCUCAACCCUUCCUUAUAUCUGAGAGGGCACUCCCAACGAAGCCUUUCGAAAUAUUCAGCUUUCUUCCCCCCGAUAAUACCUCUGCAAACAAGCUAUACUAGAGCAAGAAUAUCUCAUAUCAUCAGGGUUAAAAGCAAGAGUAUCCCAUAUCAUGCUUUUUCCCUGUCUUUUCCUUUGGCCUUGUUCUUACCUGCAAGACAAGGAGAAAGAGAGCAAUCAGUCAGCACUUGGAAUCAAGCUUCCAGCCAGGAACUGACUGCCUGGAACCCCUUACCUGAUUACUUACCUGGCAUUGCUCUUGAGUACUCAUCUUCAACAUCUUAUGCUCCCAGGGAAGAUACCGCAUAUGCCUGAGGAACAGAUAGGGCAAGUGAGAAGGAUACAAGGAAGCAUAUGGAGACAAGCGUAACAGCACACGUGCCGAUACAUCCAUUACUCUGUCAAAAGCAAAAGUAUCCCAUAUCAGCAAGGUCGAACAUACUCUAGAUUUGAUGGACUUGUUUUGACCCUCAAAUUCUUCAGUCGGCCUUAUACACUGGAGGAAACCAGAAAACCCUCCAGCUCAGUUCAAGAAUAAGCCUGUGGAAAGUUACUUCUUCAAAAGCAAAAGUAUCCCAUAUCAUCUCUUCUCAUUUUUCUUCUCUUUAUCCUUCAUGCUGCCUGCAAGAUAAGGAGAAUGUGAACAAUCAGCCGGAGCUCUGAUUGCUUACCUUGUCUGUCACCUCUUUCAGCAGAUCCCCUAGCUCGGCGACUUGGGGACUCCUACUACAUGGUUUGUAUCGCGCUUGACCAAGCUUGAAACUACAAGUAAGCUUCAAGUGAAAUUGAUACAUUACCUUGUGCAUCUCCACCAGUUACAGAUACCACCCCUGGAUGGAGGAAGAGUACUUCCAGAGAAGAUGCCACAUCUACCUAUGAGACAGAUAAGGCAAGUCAAGACGAUACCACACUCCGGUACUUAGAAGUUUCGUGGUUACGAGAUCAUUCUCCCACAAUAUUUCCUAAUGUCAUUUGUACUAAAUCAUUCACUUGUACUCACUAAAGGAGAGCUUGAACCUACGUACUUGUGUAAACCCUUCACAAUUAAUGAGAACUCCUCUAUUCCGUGGACGUAGCCAAUCUGGGUGAACCACGUGCAUCUUGUGUUUGCUUUCCUAUCUCUAUCCAUUUAUAUACUUAUCAACACUAAUGACCGGAGCAAUCUAGCGAAGAUCACAAAAAGUGACCGUUUUCGCUACCUAGGAUCUAUCUUGCAGGAGAACGGAGAAUUAGAUGGAGAUCUCAACCAUAGAAUACAAGCUGGAUGGAUGAAGUGUAAGAGUGCAUCCGGCGUGUUGUGUGACCGUCGUAGGCCACUGAAGCUCAAGGGAAAAUUUUAUAGGACGGCAAUAAGGCCAACGAUGUUGUAUGGCACAGAAUGUUGGGCGGUGAAGCAUCAACACGUACACAAAAUGGGUGUAGCGGAGAUGAGGAUGCUUCGUGGGAUGUAUGGGCACACGAGAAAGGAUAAGAUUGGGAAUGAGGAUAUCUGAGGUAAAGUAGGAGUAGCCAAAAUUGAAGGAAAUAUGAGAAAAAAUCGGUUCCGGUGGUUUGGACAUGUGCAAAGAAAGCAUAUUGACGCUCCGGUUCGAAAAUGUGACUACGGGACAGAGGUUCAGGGCCGAAGGGGUAGAGGAAGACCUAGGAAAACUUUGGAAGAGACCCUAAGAAAAGACUUGAGUACUUGGAUCUAACGGAGGACAUGACACAAAACCGAGCGCAAUGGAGUUCUAGGAUUCAUAUAGCCGACCCCACUUAGUGGGAAAAGGCUUUGUUGUUGUUGUUGUUGUUUGACUAGAGCAGUGUACUUACUUUUUUGCACCCAAGUUGAAUUUAGUAUAAAUUAUUCUAUGGUUUGGAAAUGGAAAUAAAAAAAAUAAAAAAAGUCAAUUCAUGAAUAAUUCAAUGUAACGGAGUGUUUAAACGCAAAACUUGAGCGAGACAUUAGCGGAAUGAUAGUUUCAAUCCCGACCACAAAUUUGCUACACCAACU